rnacentral:rRNA from 1 species
UGAAUUAAGAGCCCUGAGAGAUGAUCAGGUUGAUAGGCUGGAAGUGGAAGUCCUGCGAGGGAUGGAGCGGACCAGUACUAAUAGCUCGAGGACUUUACCAA